ensembl:lncRNA
GUGUGUAAUGGAAAUAUUCGGGGCGUGGGUAGUAAAAGGGCUUAAGCGGAGCGCCGCGGCUCCCAGCCUCUCAGAGAUAAGGAGCAGAGCCCGUCACGGAGACUGCGUGUGCCCCACCGCCACCGACCUUGUUCUUUCCUUUCCUCGCUGCCGGCGAGUGGUGGGCAGUGACCCGCUGACACCGCAGGCAUAUGGCUCCGGGCAAAAAUCAGGGUCCUUGCCUCAGCGGGCGCAGCUCUCUGAGUGCAGUGUAACGCUCGGGAUCCAACAGAGGGAAGAGGAGCCCCGUACUUUCUGCCCCACUUUAAGCCCACGCUCCAGAAGCACCCGGCAACAGUAUGAAAAUAGGCUAGAAAUGGGCUCGAUAGGAAACAGGGAGAAUCCCGAAUGCCCCCCCCCCACCCCCCACCCCAUCAGCGUGCGAGCAUCUCGCUUCGGCCGGAUCGGUUCGCUGAUGGAGGGAGGCGGAGGGAGGUACGGGGAUGUGCCCGUGCCAGGGGUGGGCUCGGCCACGAGCGUAGCAAAGCGGGACCCGCCGGGCUGCAACCUCCCCGGCCAGCGCCGUUCAUAGGGGCUCUUCGCCUUUUGCUUCACGGCGAUUACCUCUGCCACGUGCGAGGCAGAGAGGCUGACUCACGGAGUGCAGCAGAGCGGGGAGCGAUGCGGGGCGGUGGGGAUCGCUGCACACCCACGCAGAGCGUGGGCGCUGAGAACCGUACACAGCGAGGGGGCCGGCAGCGAUCCCGGUUGUUCUGUGGGGCCGGCGCUGCCCCCCGGCUCCACUGUCCUCCCGGGCACCGCGAGGCCCCCGCAGCGCUGUCCGGGUCCCUCCGACCCGACACCCCCCCACGGGUCUCGGGGGACAAGUGGAAAGAUACACAGCACACAAUGACCGGGAGAAAAUCACAGCACAAAGGGGAGCGGAGCGGCCGCGGGGAGGAAUGUGGGCUCCGCACUCCCACGCUGCGGUGCCGGGUACGGCAAUGCGGGAUAACGGCUAACAGCUGAAAUCAAAACGCAAUUGGUUUGAUUUUUUUUAAAUGCCGAGGGCGGCAUUGAGGGGAAAGGAGUCGUUUUUUAAUCUUAAUGCAAACCCAUCCGCCAGCAGACGCAGAGUAAAAGCUCGUUAAAAAAAAAAAAAAAACACAAUAUAAAAAAUGGAAUGUGCUUUUUCUGAGCUUUGCGGAUCUUUACGGGGGAGAAACAAAUGAGGGAAGAGUGGAAAAUGGGAGGCGAUAAGAAGAAAACCUGCCUUUGUUCUCCCUGGUCAUUUUCUGCUAAUUACUCUGCCCAUUGUGACAAAGUCGCAGUUAAGGGCACAUUAGUGUACAUAACGCCGCGUUUCGCCCCGCACCGCUCAGCGCCCGGCCCGAGCCGUGCCGCCGUGUUUGUGUUCCUCCCCUUCACCUCCAACAGAAACUCUUUGAGAUUUCAGAUCUUUGAACUUUGGACGGAUCAAACUGCCGGCGCUCACCUUUGUC